rnacentral:lncRNA from 1 species
AGAGAGAGAGAGAGAAGGAAAGCAUCAAACAUCAAAGUCUCUCUCUCCGUAGACUGAGAGAGAGGAGAGAGGGCAGGGCACGCAAUACCUUGGAUUUUUUUUCUUCAUAUCCAUUCAACAGCAAUCAUCAUGCCCUCCUCCUCCUCCUCCUCCCCACCUCUGACUCUUCAAUACCAUCAUCAUUACCCCCUCACCACCACUACUCAUGAUCAUCCCCUCCCCCUUUUCAAUAUCCACCAACUUCACAUCCCAAGACCAAAAGCAAACCAACAGCAACAAGACGACCAAGAAGAAGAAGAAGGUCAAGAAGAAGAAGAAGAAGAAGAAGAAGAAGAAGAAGAAGAAGAAACGAGCAGCAGGAUUAAUUUCUUACAAGCCGAUCAUGACAAACUCUUUUACUAGUAUAUUUUAUGAGUGAAAGGGUCUCUUUUUCCAAAGGAUCCAACAACUCUACGGGGAAUCAAGCUUCUCGGUCCGAUCAUUUGCUAGAUCAAAGCAAAUCACACAAGUUUUGUCUACAAUGGGGUUUCUUCCUUUUUCAUCACUUCGGUCCAUCACUCAGUAAAACUGGUACAAUAGCUAUAUAGGUAGCUUUCCUUUUGCACAUGGACUCUCUACCUUUUAUAUUCUAGGUAUGGUUUCGAGACCAUUUAUGAAAGAAGAAGAAGAAGAAGAUGCUGAUUGUAUGUGCUUAAAUUUUUUUUUCUUUUUGUGUUCGUUAUUUUCUUUCUAGAUCUCUAAAUUUUCCCAAACAUGUUUCCGUGGUCUUCUCUUGAUUUUUGUUUGUUUGGUGCAAUGAUAUUUAUGAUGGAAGGAACUUGUUGUUUGAUAUACAAUAUAAUUAUUCUUCAUGACAG